UCAAUGUAGUUUUUAGAAUACAACGAAAUUCAGACACGCACACAUACAUAUGCGAUAAUAUAUUCGUUCUAGAAUACUUCGAAAUGAAAGAGGAAACAAAAUGCACCGGUUGCCGGUCGUAAAAGAUCGCUCGUGAAUAUGCAACGAAGCGAAUGCUCUGAGAAGCGAAAUGAGUAAUAUAGGAAAGGUAUAAUGAGUGGCUGAUUAUGAUGUAAGCGGUUUAUCCGAGCGUAAUGAUUCGGGGAGCAGAUUGCAGACCGACGAAUACGCCUUUACUUUCUACCUUUACACCCAUUGUCCGCAGCCAUUGUCGGCCAAUGCGACACGAUUAUUCACCGUUCUCCUCGAUGUCUGACCUUUUCCACGUGAUAUUUAUAAGAUUUGCUACACGACGACCGUGACUUUAGGUGAGGUCGUUAUGCAAAUUACGCGACCUUACAUUUAUUAUACCUGUUAAGUACCUACGUCGAAUCGGUGUUUCGGCAGUGUAUAACGCCAUUCGAGAAACAGACGAGCGGAAUGGAUUAGCAUGUAAAAUAGGUUUCCAGGUUAAAAAAGUGCUCGAUUCUUUCAGAUUAGUCAAAGAUUAUUAUUCGAGAAUCGAAUGCUUGUUGCUCUCGAAAAGUUUGUAUAACGUUUCUUGGAAGAGAAUUGUGAUUGGUUGAGAAUAAAAUGUGACAUGUAUCAUCCAAUUAAUCGAGUGAAAUUUUUGUUAGCACGUUGGCAGGAAUGCCUUUACAUGAACAGGAAGGAAGUGGUCGUAUUUCUAACUGCGAUAGAAAGAAACAUGGAAUUGUCACGUAUUUAACAAGAACGAUAACAGUGCGGAUAUAAGAUUUGUGGGACAGUGGCUUGGAUUUGCAUAUUGGGUCGAUGUGAUAUCUUAAUCGUGGUUUACAAUAAAUGUACCUACUUAAAAGUUUAAUAUAUCUCUGAUCAUUUCUAAGAUUUUUUAAAAAUAAAUCCACGAGUAAAAUGAACGAGUACACAUGCACUUGAUAUACUUAUCGACACGUGGCUAUUAUCGAGCAAAAAAAAAGUAAUCAUCGUAUCACCGAUAAUAAUCAUUAAAACUAUAAAAAUGAAUUACUGAAUUUCGAUUGUUUACUAUCGAUAAUUAUAUAUUUACUAGUCAGAUGGUUAAUGUGAUUUCAAUGAUGUAUGGUGCUUCUGCACUCGCACGAAGGCGACAUUCCUCGAUUGCGUGGAGUUAAUACGACUCGAGGGAGCGAUCGUUUCGUCUUUCGAACACGUGUGUUCUUAUCAGUGGUCAUUUUUUUUUCUCAGGACACGAUAACAGUACUCGCAAAGCGUAAUUUCCGUUCAUGGCUUUUCGAGGAAACUUCGCUUUGCGAAAUUACAUGAUUCGUAAUCACGCUCUUUGUCAAAUGGAAAUUACAUCUCUUACAUAGACAAGCCGCUUUAGAGGAUUUAACGUUUUAAAUAUUCCCCUAUCUUUAAAUUUUAUGCAACGAUAAAUAAUAACAGUAAAACUUUAAUUCUAAAAUAAGGAUUACGAGUAUAAACUAUAAGAAUAACGAACGAUAGUUAAAGUUCUGCGAACUUUUUAAACGUCUUCUCUUCUUUCAUCGUUUUGCCAAAGGUAUAAAAUAUAUAAGCAGACGCGUUAACAAUAGGACGGAAUGAGUUGAAAUUAAAUAGUUAUAUAAUAACAUCGAAAACAUCGUUUUUAAGGUACAAAAAGGGAAGGCCGAGGAACACGGUUUAAUGGCGGUGAGCCGGCGUGAAAGGGGGCGCGCAUUUCUAUGUUUUUGUAGAAACCACAAGUGAAUUCGCGGCAACGAUCCGGCGCACCUGCGUUUCGUUUCGCAUGAUAUCACAGCCAUGCGAUAAAUUUUCAUUGCCACGCGUGUAGGAAUAAACUUUUAUUGACCAUUGAACGGUUUGAAUUUAAACGCGCCGCGUAUACGCGCGCAUAACCGCGCGUAACGACUACACACGUAUACGCAACUAUAUCCCCGGGUUUAAAGGACUAUGAAUGUCUAGCACUAUCGUUUAAGAAAAUAUGUCGUUUAUGUUUCGAACGAUUACACGAGUGGUCUACGCGGGAAAAAAUUUCAGGCAAAUUGAAUGUGUGUAAUUUGUAGAGAUGGAAUGCUUGAAUCCUUGAAAUCCGUCGAAAAAAUCCCUUCUCCAAAAACAUUUUCCUACUUUUUGCGAUUCGAAAUUUUGAGGUUAGGCGAAGAAUAAUUUAUAUAAAGAAAUAUUUAUCUCGAAGAAUACUUUGAAACAAGAAUACCGCAUGAUGUCCAUCAAAACGAUGUCAAGAAUAUCCUGCGGUAAUCGUAAGUCAACUUUAUUCAAAUGAAUCGAAACUAGUAUUUAUUGAACGUGCUAUAUAAGGUGCACUUAAAAAAAACAUAUGUGUCAAAUCAUUUGAAUUUCUAACGCGAGAAGGUGUGACCAUCGUUAAUACGACAAUAAUUAUGACGUGCAAAGUUGAAUCCGUGAAUCAAUGGUGUUAAUGCGCAAG